rnacentral:rRNA from 1 species
CAGUAGCCGCGGGAAAACGUAGGGGGCGAGCGUUAUCCGGAAUUACUGGGCGUAAAGAGUAUGUAGGUGGUUAAGUAAGCGUAGGGUUUAAGGCGACGGCCCAACUGUCGUAUGCCCCGCGAACUGUUUAACUUGAGUACAGGAGGGGAAGGCGGAAUUCCUAGUGUAGCGGUGAAAUGCGUAGAUAUUAGGAGGAACACCAGUGGCGAAGGCGGCCUUCUGGACUGUAACUGACACUGAGAUACGAAAGCGUGGGUAGCAAACAGGAUUAGAUACCCGCGUAGUCCCUGUCUCUUAUACA